rnacentral:rRNA from 1 species
UACGUAGGGGGCAAGCGUUGUCCGGAAUCAUUGGGCGUAAAGAGCGUGUAGGCGGCCCGAUAAGUCCGCUGUGAAAGUCCAGGGCUCAACCCUGGAAUGCCGGUGGAUACUGUCGGGCUCGAAUCCGGAAGAGGUGAGUGGAAUUCCUGGUGUAGCGGUGAAAUGCGCAGAUAUCAGGAGGAACACCAAUGGCGAAGGCAGCUCACUGGGACGGUAUUGACGCUGAGACGCGAAAGCGUGGGGAGCAAACAGGAUUAGA